GGGGACAAACUGCAACUGAGGUUUCUCCCCUACCUUCACUGAAGACUUUGGGAACAGCUGUUGUCCUUUCCCCUUUCAUCCUGAAAGCCUUCAUCAUCACCCUUGAUGAUCUAGGACUCAAACCUGAUCUUGGUACAUGGAGAGAGAACCAUCUGCAACCCACAAUAUAUAGAGGACUGUAUAGGAUCUGCUUCAGCGUGAGGGUUUGGAUCUCAAUUGCCCUGACUCUAUUUCAUAUGACUGUGUCUCAGUAUAAGGAAGAUAUGUGUUUAAGCUAGAAGGAAAGGAAAAGAGAAAAUCUAAAGCCAAAAUGAGACUGAAUUGGAGGUGUAAACCUCCAGUUUUGAAAACCUUAAGAAGAUUAACUGCUGUGAUGCUAGGUAUGCAGUUCGUUAUUUCUUGUCAGAGAAGCUGACAGCAGGAUGCUUCAGGAUCAGAACCUCUUGGAGAUCAGGCCACCGUGCGUGCUAAUUAGGCCAUUUUGAAGGAAGAUGUCAUAUUUACAAAUUGAAGGCAAGAUGCUCCACCAGCAAAA